ACAGAAGACGCCAUCACACUGAUGUUUCAAGAAUUUUCAGUCUCUCUCAGUUGUACCACCAAGGAAACAUAAUCUUCUUCUACUUAGAGAGUAACUUACUUAUUCCGUGGUUCUACAUUGUUUAAAAUGUUGCUAAACUUUUUAGCCAAAUUACUAGUAUUUUCUGUGUUCGUCCUGAUAUUGAAUUCUGAGCAAAAUAGGAAUGGAGUAUAUUGUGAGAAAGAAACAAAGAUUAUUUCAGAAUAUGGAAACGUUGUUAUGUUAAAAAUUAAUUCAUCUCCAUCAGAUUUAUUCGAAACACCAAUCAGCAAAGCAAUAUGUAUUAAAAUGGAGACAGGAUAUCCUGAAGAUUUCAUGCCUACCAAUCUUACAAUCGAUAUAAUAUCAUGUACUGCUGAAGACAGCAGAAUGUCAGUCAAGGACGAUUGGAUGAGACCUACUUUUGAAUUCUACAUUUGCAAUAGCCUAGAG